GAUGAACGCUAGCGGCAGGCUUAACACAUGCAAGUCGAGGGGUAUAGUUCUUCGGAACUAGAGACCGGCGCACGGGUGCGUAACGCGUAUGCAAUCUACCUUUUGCAGAGGGAUAGCCCAGAGAAAUUUGGAUUAAUACCUCAUAGUAUGUGAGAAUGGCAUCAUUUUCACAUUAAAGUCACAACGGCAAAAGAUGAGCAUGCGUCCCAUUAGCUUGUUGGUAAGGUAACGGCUUACCAAGGCAACGAUGGGUAGGGGUCCUGAGAGGGAGAUCCCCCACACUGGUACUGAGACACGGACCAGACUCCUACGGGAGGCAGCAGUGAGGAAUAUUGGACAAUGGGCGCAAGCCUGAUCCAGCCAUGCCGCGUGCAGGAUGACGGUCCUAUGGAUUGUAAACUGCUUUUGUACAGGAAGAAACACUGGUUCGUGAACCAGCUUGACGGUACUGUAAGAAUAAGGAUCGGCUAACUCCGUGCCAGCAGCCG
rnacentral:rRNA from 1 species